rnacentral:lncRNA from 1 species
AACAGUUACAAUCAUGAAUGCAUCAAGUCCAAUAUUAUGAACUAUCUUCGGUAAAAUAAUUUUUCUUAGAACUAUUGUUAAUGUUAUCAUAUAUGUACAAAAAAAUAUUAUGCAAAAAAUAAAAUAUCUAUAACAAAAACCAAAUAAUAUAUAACACCCAGACAUAAAAUACAAAUAACAUAAACAAUAUUAGACACCAGUACAUAUCAUCCAUAAUAUCCAUAAUAUUCAUAAAAUUCAUAACACA